GACGAACGCUGACAGAAUGCUUAACACAUGCAAGUCUACUUGAUUCUACUUCGGUAGUUGAUGGUGGCGGACGGGUGAGUAACGCGUAAAGAAUCUGCCCUUUAGUCUGGGAUAACAGUUGGAAACGACUGCUAAUACCGGAUAUUAUGGAAUCAUCGCAUGAUGAGAUCAUGAAAGCUAUAUGCGCUAGAGGAGGACUUUGCGUCCCAUUAGCUAGUUGGUGAGGUAACGGCUCACCAAGGCGACGAUGGGUAGCCGGCCUGAGAGGGUGAUCGGCCAAAAGGGAACUGAGACACGGUCCUUACUCCUACGGGAGGCAGCAGUGGGGAAUAUUGGACAAUGGACCAAAAGUCUGUUCCAGCAAUUCUGUGUGCACGAUGAAGGUCUUCGGACUGUAAAGUGCUUUCAGUAGGGAAGAAUAAAUGACGGUACCUACAGAAGAAGCGACGGCUAAAUAUGUGCCAGCAGCCGCCGUAACAC
rnacentral:rRNA from 1 species